GAGAGCCGAGAUGCGGGGAAACCCGCACGUCCGGUUCGGGAAGAGGGAUGUGGGAGACGGCCCGGAGUAUCCACGGGAAGCCUGGACAUAGGCCAUACGCGUCCACACCCUACUUUCAC
rnacentral:ncRNA from 1 species